CACUAUAUGGACUGUACUAAAAACACUCAACCCACUGAUUCUGGUGAAAUCAUUUUGGAGUGACAAGGAUAGGCAGGGACUUUCCUGGGCUCAGGACUCUAGCCGGGGAGUGGCAAAAGCCACACUGCAACUCAACUCAGGAGAAAAUGCCUGGAAAUUUGAGCCAGCUGUUUUUUUCUUACUCACCAAAGUGCAUUGAGUCAACCCUUGAUCUUUUGUCAAUAUUUGCAGACCGAAAACACGACAAACCACCCCCUGUGCCGCCAGAGUGUAGACACGAAAUCCCCUGGGGUAAAACAGAAAUUUCAUAACUGGCUGUAGAGUUACUGUUUUUGCCUUUUGGAAGCUUCCACCUUGUGAUGGGAAGAGCACUGUCAGCCCAACACAGAAACUCUGCCGCCUGGAGUCACGUGGAUCCAGAUGCAAAGGGACUUGAAUGUCAUGCUAAAGAGUUUGGGUAAUAACAAUGAUAAAAUGCUACUUAUUGAGGUAGACGUGUUUAAUGUGUCUUCUUUCAUCCUGAAGGCUAAGAAUUUGUACAGCCAUGUUACAGAUUUGGAAAAUGAUGUGAAGAGAAGCUAAGAGAUUUGCCAUUGCCACUCAGCUGCCAAAGCCUCCAUCCUCCAGCCAUUGUCCGGCAAUUCGGGCAGAAUUCACUCCUGCUCAGAAGGUAGCCAUCCUGUGAGGAAGAAACCAGCCCAAGGAAGAUACUAACCUACAGAAGAAGGACGUGGCCAGAGUAAUCACAUAGACCCAGAGUUGGAGCCCUGACUGUACCACACCCCAAGCCUUCCCACCUUUCAACCUCUCAGUGAUGGUGAACCAAUAAAUCCUUUCUAUUGUUCAAGCCA